GUGGGGAAUAUUGGACAAUGGGCGAAAGCCUGAUCCAGCCAUGCCGCGUGUGUGAAGAAGGUCUUCGGAUUGUAAAGCACUUUAAGUUGGGAGGAAGGGUAGUAACCUAAUACGUUGCUACUUUGACGUUACCGACAGAAUAAGAACCGGCUAACUUCGUGCCAGCAGCCGCGGUAAUACGAAGGGUGCAAGCGUUAAUCGGAAUUACUGGGCGUAAAGCGCGCGUAGGUGGUUCAGUAAGUUGGAAGUGAAAUCCCCGGGCUCAACCUGGGAACUGCUUUCAAAACUGCUGAGCUAGAGUACGGUAGAGGGUGGUGGAAUUUCCUGUGUAGCGGUGAAAUGCGUAGAUAUAGGAAGGAACACCAGUGGCGAAGGCGACCACCUGGAAUGAUACUGACACUGAGGUGCGAAAGCGUGGGGAGCAAACAGGAUUAGAAACCCUGGUAGUCC
rnacentral:rRNA from 1 species